UUCCCUGGAACGGGACGCCGGAGAGGGUGAGAGCCCCGUACAGUUGGACACCAAGCCUUUGUAAAGCUCCUUCGACGAGUCGAGUAGUUUGGGAAUGCUGCUCAAAAUGGGAGGUAAAUGCCUUCUAAAGCUAAAUACCGGCCAGAGACCGAUAGCGCACAAGUAGAGUGAUCGAAAGAUGAAAAGCACUUUGAAAAGAGGGUUAAACAGUACGUGAAAUUGUUGAAAGGGAAGCGCUCGUGACCAGACUUGCGCCCGGCGGAUCAUCCGGCCUUCUGGCCGGUGCACUCCGCCGGGCUCAGGCCAGCAUCGGUUCUUCCGGGGGGACAAAAGCGGCGGGAACGUAGCUCCUCCGGGAGUGUUAUAGCCCGCCGCAGCAUACCCCCGGGGGGACCGAGGACCGCGCUUCGGCAAGGAUGCUGGCGUAAUGGUCACCAGCGACCCGUCUUGAAACACGGACCAAGGAGUCAAGCAUUAGGGCGAGUGUUUGGGUGUUAAACCCGCACGCGAAAUGAAAGUGAACGCAGGUGAGAGCUUCGGCGCAUCAUCGACCGAUCCUGAUGUUUUCGGAUGGAUUUGAGUAAGAGCCUUACCGCUUGGACCCGAAAGAUGGUGAACUAUGCUUGGAUAGGGUGAAGC
rnacentral:rRNA from 1 species